AACAACGAACUGUGAGAAGUCAGCAGAAGCCGUAGUAGGCAUGGCUCUGAAAUGGGCUUAGCUAAAGGG
rnacentral:ncRNA from 1 species